GAUGAACGCUGGCGGCGUGCCUAAUACAUGCAAGUCGAGCGAACAGAUGAGGAGCUUGCUCCUCUGACGUUAGCGGCGGACGGGUGAGUAACACGUGGAUAACCUACCUAUAAGACUGGGAUAACUUCGGGAAACCGGAGCUAAUACCGGAUAAUAUAUUGAACCGCAUGGUUCAAUAGUGAAAGACGGUUUUGCUGUCACUUAUAGAUGGAUCCGCGCCGCAUUAGCUAGUUGGUAAGGUAACGGCUUACCAAGGCAACGAUGCGUAGCCGACCUGAGAGGGUGAUCGGCCACACUGGAACUGAGACACGGUCCAGACUCCUACGGGAGGCAGCAGUAGGGAAUCUUCCGCAAUGGGCGAAAGCCUGACGGAGCAACGCCGCGUGAGUGAUGAAGGUCUUCGGAUCGUAAAACUCUGUUAUUAGGGAAGAACAAAUGUGUAAGUAACUAUGCACGUCUUGACGGUACCAAAUCAGAAAGCCACGGCUAACUACGU
rnacentral:rRNA from 1 species